rnacentral:tRNA from 1 species
AGAGGCAUAGCUCAGUGGUAGAGCGUGUGCUUAGCAUGCCCAAGGUCCUGGGUUCAAUCCCCAGUGCCUUCA